rnacentral:rRNA from 1 species
AUUGAACGCUGGCGGAAUGCUUUACACAUGCAAGUCGAACGGUAGAGGGGGCAACCCCUCGAGAGUGGCGAACGGGUGAGUAAUAUAUCGGAACGUGCCCAGUCGUGGGGGAUAACGUAGCGAAAGUUACGCUAAUACCGCAUACGAUCUAAGGAUGAAAGCGGGGGAUCGCAAGACCUCGCGCGAUUGGAGCGGCCGAUAUCAGAUUAGGUAGUUGGUGGGGUAAAGGCUCACCAAGCCAACGAUCUGUAGCUGGUCUGAGAGGACGACCAGCCACACUGGAACUGAGACACGGUCCAGACUCCUGCGGGAGGCAGGAGUGGGGAAUUUUGGACAAUGGACGCAAGUCUGAUCCAGCCAUUCCGCGUGCAGGAUGAAGGCCCUCGGGUUGUAAACUGCUUUUGUACGGAACGAAAAGGUCUCUCUUAAUACGGGGGACUGAUGACGGUACCGUAAGAAUAAGCACCGGCUAACUACGUGCCAGCCGCCGCCGUAACAC